rnacentral:misc_RNA from 1 species
UACAUUGAGAGAUAUCAUCCUUGACGACAGGAAAUGACAUUUCCUGCGCAUUAGAUUGAGGCAUGCCGUGCACAUCCCCAGUUGGAAUAAAAGUAGCUGGCUGCGCCACAUUAUCAAAAAUACCGGCAAGAUCAUCAGUUCCAUCUUGUAGAUGAAAAGGUUCAAGCUCUUCAUUGCUUUGGGGAAAGCAAGCAGACAGUGUCGAUUUAUCUCUUUGUUUCAGCUUGUCACUUGCCAUUGCAUAACUAGUUCAGUGACUUGACUCUUGAGUGAUUGCAGGGAGAA